rnacentral:rRNA from 1 species
AUUGAACGCUGGCGGCAUGCCUUACACAUGCAAGUCGAACGGUAACAGGUCUUCGGAUGCUGACGAGUGGCGAACGGGUGAGUAAUACAUCGGAACGUGCCCGAGAGUGGGGGAUAACGAGGCGAAAGCUUUGCUAAUACCGCAUACGAUCUCAGGAUGAAAGCAGGGGACCGCAAGGCCUUGCGCUCACGGAGCGGCCGAUGGCAGAUUAGGUAGUUGGUGGGAUAAAAGCUUACCAAGCCGACGAUCUGUAGCUGGUCUGAGAGGACGACCCGCCACACUGGGAAUGAGACACGGCCCAGACUCCUACGGGAGGCAGCAGUGGGGAAUUCUGGACAAUGGGCGCAAGCCUGAUCCAGCCAUGCCGCGUGCAGGAUGAAGGCCUUCGGGUUGUAAACUGCUUUUGUACGGAACGAAAAGACUCUGGUUAAUACCUGGGGUCCAUGACGGAACCGUAAGAAUAAGCACCGGCUAACUACGUGCCAGCCGCCGCCGUAAAAC